rnacentral:rRNA from 1 species
UACGGAGGGUGCAGGCGUUAUCCGGAUUCACUGGGUUUAAAGGGUGCGUAGGUGGAUUGGUAAGUCAGUGGUGAAAUCUCCAGGCUUAACUUGGAAACUGCCAUUGAUACUAUCAAUCUUGAAUACCGUGGAGGUCAGCGGAAUAUGUCAUGUAGCGGUGAAAUGCUUAGAUAUGACAUAGAACACCAAUUGCGAAGGCAGCUGGCUACACGAAUAUUGACACUGAUGCACGAAAGCGUGGGGAUCAAACAGG